rnacentral:tRNA from 1 species
CUGAUGCUAGUAAGGUGGAGCCGACCACCGGUUGCUUCGAUCAGUCGCAAAUCGCGCGAGGUGGCUAAGUCCUCCGCUUCGGC